GAGCUGUGGAGUGUGACAAUGGUGUUUGUGUCCAAUCUAUCAAACGCCAUUAUCACACUAAAUAGCUACUGUUAGA
rnacentral:pre_miRNA from 1 species